rnacentral:rRNA from 1 species
GACGAACGCUGGCGGCGUGCCUAAUACAUGCAAGUAGAACGCUGAAGGAGGAGCUUGCUUCUCUGGAUGAGUUGCGAACGGGUGAGUAACGCGUAGGUAACCUGCCUGUUAGCGGGGGAUAACUAUUGGAAACGAUAGCUAAUACCGCAUAAUAGCAGUUGUUGCAUGACAACUGUUUGAAAGGUGCAAUUGCACCACUACCAGAUGGACCUGCGUUGUAUUAGCUAGUUGGUGGGGUAACGGCUCACCAAGGCGACGAUACAUAGCCGACCUGAGAGGGUGAUCGGCCACACUGGGACUGAGACACGGCCCAGACUCCUACGGGAGGCAGCAGUAGGGAAUCUUCGGCAAUGGACGGAAGUCUGACCGAGCAACGCCGCGUGAGUGAAGAAGGUUUUCGGAUCGUAAAGCUCUGUUGUAAGAGAAGAACGAGUGUGAGAGUGGAAAGUUCACACUGUGACGGUAUCUUACCAGAAAGGGACGGCUAACUACGUG